GGAUUGUUCCUGGCGCUUGGUGCCUCUGUCAGAGCCGCAUCUCCGGGUUGCGAGGCAGCCUCCACGCCCUGCAAGGCCCCGUCUCCGUGUACCAUUUCUAUCUUCUCCCACACAAGCUGGCCGAGACUUCCUUCUCCAAGACACAAGUCACAAGUAGGUGAAGAGAGCAGAGAAUCUAAAAGGCCUCAUCUGGGUCACCGCCGCCAGAUCUGCCAUGUUGGACAGAGGGCCCCCCGGCCUCAGCAGCCUCAGGGGAAGGGGCCAGGCUUGGGCCCGGGCAGCUGGGGUGCUCACCUCUCCUUGGGCAGGCGGAAGCGAGGCUGCCGGUGGCAGCGCUUGCAGAGGUUGAAGAGCCUGCGGACAAUCCGGUGGGUCUUCUUGAACAGCAAUUUCAAGCUGGCUCCCAGCUGCUGGUAGCGGUGCUGCAGGCUGGUGUCCAUGGCCCAGAACUGGGAGAUGGCUGUGGAGUUCAGGAACCUGUCUCCAGGCAGCCUUUUCAGCAGGGCCUGGAAUUCCUCUGUGGGCAAGGAUGCAGAGCUGAGCCGAGGGGGAGUCACGCAGACUCUGGGACGGCAGGGCGCUCCCCAGACCCAGCCGGCCCUCCGGACUCAUUGCCUGAGGAAAGAGGCUCCAUAGCCAUUCUCCCAGGCCCUUGUAUGUAUUUCUUUUUAAACUGCUUUAUUUGGAAAAUGAAUAACAUGCCAUAAAACAGAGCUUCAGGAUUCUUUUCCAUCUUUCCUGUCCCUAAUAUGCUUCUGAAUUUCAAAACAGAUUUCCGUCACGACCCAAGCAGGCCAGAGGUCACGCUUUUGCCAAUGACCUUGGGAUGUACCACUUUCUCCCUUUAUAACUUCCUAUGAGGAAUGGAGGUAUUCUGAAGCUGCAUGGCUCACAUAAGGUCACAAAGCUGGUCAGUAACAGAGUGUCUCAGUCUUUGGGGGCUGCUCUCAGAAAAUACCACAGACCGAGUGGCUUAUAAACAACAGAAGUUUAUUGCUCACGGUUCAAGAAGCUGGAAGUCCAAGAUCAGAAUGCCACCACGGUCAGGUUCUGGGGAAGGCCCUCUCUGGGUCGAGUGUGGCUCACUGCUCACUGUGUCUUCACAUGGCCGAAGGGAUCACAUCCAUUUACACAGAUAACAAGAAGACAACCACCUGAGACGUGAGGUUGUGAGAUAACCUGUUAGGGGCCAAGGACACAGGGAAGUGUGGGCCCGUCAACUGCUCACCUGACUCCUCAAACUGCCGGUUGUGAGUCACCCAAGAGUCCUGGAUCUGCAGCAGGCUGUCCUCCAUGGCCUGGAUGUCAGCAUCCGGACAGUUGCAUUCUGGGAAGGUGGGGCUGCACUUGCACCAACAGUCAUUCUCCUUGCAGACGAGCUCCCCCUCAGAGCUGCAUGUGAUAUAGCUGAGUGCCGCCGCCACAAAGCGCUCACGCAGGUACUCGGGCAGCAGCACCUGUAGGCCUAGGGAAAGGACGCAUCAGGGAAUUGUGGGGCAAGGACCAGUGGGGACCUGGUUUCCCACACUUAAGGCUGCAGGAUCGCCAGCUGGGGUUCUGCUGACUUGGGCAUUCUGGGCCCAAGAACGGUCACCCCAGGGCCUAACUCUAUGGAGCUGAUGGGAUGAGGGGCUUACCGCUGCCCCAGUGAUGGGUGGGAGAGGGUCUGAAAAUGCAGAUGAGGAGCAUCGAAGCCCAAGGCUUCGGAGAACCCCUCACAUCAGCCAAAUUGAGAGCGUGCGUAUCACACGAAUGGCCUUAUUGGCUGCACAUAGGCAUCUCUAGGAUGGAAAUGGGAAGAUAUUUCAGAUAAAAGAAGACCUUACAAUCUCAUGAAGGAGGAAUCAAGGCUUGAUGGGCUUUUUGCUCUGCUUCAGCUAGCCAUCCUGUUUCUGGCUUUGCUAAGUCACAGACGUUCUGGGAUGUCCCACCCCACCCUUGACGACCAAGGAGACUGCUCUGGUCAGGAGGCAGGGACAGGCGUUGUUGGUACGCAGUGGCCAGGCACCACACCAGGUGCUUCCCAGAUACGAUCGCAUGUGACUCCCUGGGCACAUUGAGAAUCCAGGGCCGAUGGCCACAGUGACCUGCCCACGUCGCAGGACUAGUAAAGUUGGCUUGGUGUCACACUCUGCCGUGGUACCAUCAGCUUGUACUGCACGCCUGGGACUGGCUGCCCUGCCUCAGUGUGCUUAACUCUCACCGAGAUUUGGAAGUUCAGUCAAGCCUGGGUAGGUAGGAAUGGUUCUCUGCUCUCCCUGCUAAUUAGCUCCCCUGAUCUUGGGAUAUAAUCCACUAAAUUUCUCUAGGCUUCAGUCUUCCUAUCCAUCUGUGGUGGUGGGUUUUAGUUUACCAGGAGCAGAAUACACCCCUCUUUGGCUUCAAGCCACACACGGUGGCUGUCGGAAGCACACCAAGGGAUGAGUGAAGGACACGCAUGCCUUUGGAUGCCGCCUGGGCCAGGUUCGAGGGCAGACCUGCAAGAGGCUGCCCCAGUAGGGACAUCGCGAGAGACGGUGCCAGGAGAGUGGGGGACGUGAGAACUUCGGAUACGCCGAGCUCCCCUUUCCUCAAAUACCUGCCAGCUCUUUAUCCUCACACCCUUGACUGUGUCCUUGGCAGGAAAUCAGAGAGCCCAAAGUAUGCAUCCUAGUCUCCGUGGACCUGAAAACAUAACUUAGCACGGCAGCACCAGCAGAAGUCCUGUUUGAGAUCCACCUCGUAUCUGAACUGCUCCUCAAGUUUCCUCUCUUGAUGCUGUGCCUGCAGUGGCACUGGAGCGGCCCUCCCCACACAUCCGGUCCACAUGCUGCCUUUCCACACACACCCAUCCAAGUCCUUUCUCUUCACCUCCCCCACUACCUCCCUCCUCCUCACCAUAACACUUCCCAUUGCUAUAAAAUAAGUGCCCCGAGCAGUGUCUGCAUGAGUGAUGGGCUAUAAAAUUAAAUGGCAUAAACUAUUCCAAAUGAACCACCAGACAUUCCGAACUUCACUCAUCGCUAAUUUCCAGACACAAACCCAGCCCAUCUAAGGACAGAGGAGAAGAGGGAUGCUAAUUGCAUUAGGUGGCUCUAAAUAAAGCAGUCUUUUACUCCUUUUUAUUAUAUAUUCCUUGAUUCCAAAAGAACUGAUGGGUUGCAUCUGGCUCAGGUUGCCUGGAAUUUGUAAUCGUAGAUCCUGGGUGAGGGCUAUUGAUUUUAUAAUACCAAGACAAUAAUAUCUUAAACAGAGUCCAAUUCAGUUAGGCCUCAAGAAAAAGGAACUUUUCUGACUGCCAAACAGCCCUGUCUGAAUCCGUUCGCAUUGCCCUGCCCCCAGGAUGCCUGCGGGGCAGACAGCAGGAACUAAGCACCUCCCCUAUCUCCCCUUACCUGUCCUAUCGCCUUCCGUUGGCAAGUGUGUUUUAGCUAGUUCUGUCUCCAGCGGAGGCUCCCAUUCGUCUCAGACUGUUCUCCUGGCCUUGAUCCUCCGUGGAGGAUUACAGACCAAUCACAGAAAGUAGGGACCACUCUCAGGGUAGCCAAUAGUCCCAUGGUUUGUAAAGCUCUACGGUGGCCCCAUAACCAUCUGCAAAGACCAACCGUACCCCAAUGUGUCCUUAGGACAAAGCCGAGGGUUCUUUGGGCAACAAAGGUGAUCAUCAAACUAGACCAAAGUGUAUAAGGGUGAAUGUGAUACUCAUGCAGGAUAGUGACUGGGGGUUGGGGAGGACUAUGAAUGCCGAGGGUUUGGGUGUUGAGUGGUGCUAACAAUGGUCUUGGAUGCAGGGUAAACCAUUUCAGAAGUUUUCUCAAAAGAAUGAGGGCAAGUUGUUAAAUACACGUCCCAGAAGUCCUGGUAGCUCUUGUCUUAAAUACGGUUUAGCCAGGGGUGCCUGGGUGGCUCGGUUGGUUAAGCGUCCGCCUUCAGCUCAGGUCAUGAUCUCAUGGUUCAUGAGUUUGAGCCCCGUGCCAGGCUCUGUGCUGACAGCUCGGAGCCUGGAGCCUGCUUCAGAUUCUGUGUCUCCCUCUCUCUCUCUGCCCCUCCCCUGCUUGCUCACACUGCACCUCUCUCUCUCUGUCUCUCUCAAAUAAACAUUAAAAAAAGAGAGAGAAGGGUUUAGCCAAAUGAGGCACAAAGAGGGCUUUUUCCUGCUCCUUGGUGGUCUGAGUUUUUCACCCAGUGUGACACCCGUCACGGUACAGCUUACCCAGUAACUGCACUUUGUUCUCCGGACUCUGUACCAGGACAGAGCUGACUGAGUCCAGAUUGUCGUAGUUGCUGCAGCCCAGAGGGCCCGUCCUGGUCUCCGUGACCUAGAGAAGGAGGGCACAGUGUGGAUUUAGAGACCAUCCCUACGGGGAGACCAUCCCUAUGCGCUUCCCUCUCCGGCCAUCUGAUCUCAGGCUCUGUGUCCUGUCCUUGACCAGCCGGAGGAUGGCAUGUGUUUCCCUACCCCGGGAGCAGAAAGCCACUUUUCUUCCCUGUUCUAACAGACUCUCAGCGGCAGAGGGCUGGUAGCGGCAGGUGCACACAGUGGGAGGCUUUCAGAGGGGGCCGAAGGGAAUUUGCGUCCGGGAAGAGAAGAUUCAACGUAGGCUGAGGAAACUGGACCUCUGAGCUGGAGUCCCCCCCUCUCCCUCCCCCAGAGGGAGACAGGAGGCCAGAUGUGGAGGCUGUCAGCCGGCUGGCGAGCCCAGCUGCAUCCACUCGGCGUGGUGCUCACAGGCUUUAGGGAUCCCGAAGAUGAAAAGCACUAGAGAAAUAUGAGUUAUGAGUAUUAUUAUUAGUAUUAAACAUUUAAGUCCCACCUCGGCGCUGAGACGUCCUUAGAGAAAAUCAGCCAUGGGCUUACUGCAUAUUUUAAUAAGUAUAUUAAAUAUACAUAAACUCUUAUAGCCAUGUAAUAUUCCAAAACACCACAGAAUCAUUUAAAAAUAUUAUAAAGUUGGCCUAUCAGUUUUUCCCUGAUGUUUUUAAAGUAUAAGAUGAAAAAUGGGGAGCUUUAAAUGCACUGAAAUAAUUCCAUAAUAAGAAUGAUGGGGACCUGCGGCCCUUUCUUCUCAAGAUCUGCGAAAGCUCUGCCAACAAUCAAUCAACCAAUCAACGAGUAUUUAUUGAGCAGCCACUGUUGAAUUCCAUACAAUUCAUCAAACAUUCACAGAACGCCUUUCCUGGAGUUCUUCAAGGAGUCGGCCCUGAUACCCCUGACCUUCUGUCCUGGCUCCAGAUACCUCUGCCCUGCAGCAGGCACACGCGUUGCAGUUUUCCAUCCUUUACUGAGAACGUGGGGUGCAAGUCCGGGUCCUCCACACACCAAACGCUCCACAGGAGGAACUACAACCUGUGGGGAAGGCAGGUGCAUAUUCAACGGGCCGAGAUGCAUCCAAGUGGAGCGGAAGCUACGUGUCAGUGAGCGCUGAGGAAAACACAGCUCUAAACAAAGGGAACAUGAGGGAAGAAGGGCAGAGGAGACUCAACUGAGCUGGUCCUUAAA